CUGAAGAAUGCUCACACUGAGUCCCAUUUUACAAAUAAGCAGUAAUGCCUGACCUGAGGAAUUUAAACUUAAGCCUUUGUCUGUAUAGCAGUUUUCCUUCUGGGAACUCACUCGUUUAAACAUUCACAAAUUUUCUCUUCCACUCACAAAUACAUAGACAAGGAAAUUGAGACAAGAAGAACUGAAGUAUCUUCCACAAACAACACAGAAGGGCUCUGAAAGACAGCAUUAAGGAAGCUUGGUGCACAGAUGCUGCUACUACUCAGGAAGAACAGAGUCCAGCAUGUUAGAGACCAGGUACAUUGGGAGCAUCUGGCUUUUGAA
rnacentral:lncRNA from 1 species